GAUAAGUGUGGUGGUUAAAGUUGGUAGCGCAUGAGACUCUCAAUCUCAGGGUUGUGGGUUUGAGCCCCACAUUGGGCCA